GUGGGGACCAGUGAUUUUUCAAACCAUCGCGUUGACAUUUGCAGGACCUACAAUCAAUUUUAAGGCGAUUUUAGGUUGCGGCAGGUUUCAGUUGCAGGAACCGGUAAAAUAUUAGUACCAGGACCUUUUGGCUCGAAGGACAUCGACUGUUUGUCUGUCUGUUCCCGUGGCCCUCAGUCUAUUCUGUUGCCACAGAUAGUGAAGCGAUCGAUCUCCAACAAAUCUUUCUUGGGGGUUCUGUUGUCAGGAUACAGACAUAGAGCACGGCCAUCAGGAAGUGAGGAAUCACACCUAUGUGUGCUCUCUUCUUCUCCUUUGGUUCGGUCGCCGUCCAGUACAGAGCAUCCAGAAUGUCCUGACCAAAUGAUGAGAACAGCCGAUCGGCCACCUGAUAAGAUGGAAAAUAACGACAACAAAGUUUGAUGACAGACUGUCCCCUGAUGAGGUGGUACAUCAUGGCGUAGUCCACAUAGCUCAUCAUGGAAUAACACAACACCAUGAUGAAGCCUUUCAACACAUCACACACCUGGGCUGGUUGCAACAGACGUGAACCACUAAAAAAAAUCAAGGAAAAAAAAUUACAAAACACAG